CCUACGGGUGGCAGCAGUGAGGAAUAUUGGUCAAUGGGAGGAAUCCUGAACCAGCCAUGCCGCGUGCAGGACGAAGGCUCUACGAGUUGUAAACUGCUUUUGUACCGGGGUAAAAUGCUCUACGAGUAGGGUUUUGAAAGUACGGUACGAAUAAGGAUCGGCUAACUCCGUGCCAGCAGCCGCGGUAAUACGGAGGAUCCGAGCGUUAUCCGGAUUUAUUGGGUUUAAAGGGUGCGUGGGUUGUUUUAUAAGUUAGCGGUGAAAUACCGAUGCUCAACUUCGGAAUUGCCUCUGAUACUGUUCGGCUAGAGAGUAGUUGCGGUAGGCGGAAUGUAUGGUGUAGCGGUGAAAUGCUUAGAGAUCAUACAGAACACCGAGUGCGAAGGCAGCUUACCAAGCUACUUCUGACGUUGAGGCACGAAAGCGUGGGGAGCAAACAGGAUUAGAUACCCUAGUAGUC
rnacentral:rRNA from 1 species